GAAAAUGAUGAUUGUUUAUUGUCGCCCCAGUCUUACCUGCAUCAUCAAGAUGCAGGGUGGUGAUUGACAUGUUAUCUGAUUC